CUAAAAAUCUAGCCACACCACACUUCACCCCAUUCAACCUAAAAUAAAAUAUUUUAACACCCUAGUAAAGAAGAUUAAAACCCACCCCCGAGCUAUAAAUAUGUACCGCAAGGAAAAGAUGAAAUAAAAAUGAAACAAAAUUUAAGCACAAAAAAGUAGAGCCUCACCCUCGUACCUUUUGCAUCAUGGUUUAGCUAGUCUAAUUAGGCAAAGAGACCCUUAAGUCCAACCCCCCGAAACUAAGUGAGCUAAUUUAGGGUCGCUUAACGAGCUAACCCGUCUAUGUUGCAAAAUAGUGGGAUAACCCUAAAAUAGAGGUGAUAGACCUAACGAACUUAGUGAUAGCUGGUUUCUUAAGAAAAGGAUUUUAGUCCAACCUAGAACAACACAAAUUUAUACAAAUCUACAUCUUAUUCUAGAGCAAUUCAAAUAAGGUACAGCCUAUUUGAUACAGGAUCCAACCUUGACUAAAGGGUAAUAACUCAUAUGCACUCAUAAGUGGGCCUAAUAGCAGCCACCUUUUAAAAAGCGUCAAAGCUUAAUUACACUCUAACCCAAUUCUAAUACACAUAUAGACCCCUUUAACUGUAUUAAGAAAUUCUAUACUAAUAUAGAACCUUUUAUGCUAAAACUAGUAACAAGAGACCCCCCUCUCUAAAAUGCAAACAUAAGCUGAUAAUGAACCAAUCACCAGCACUUAACAGAACUAAAUUAACAAUAACAACCACACUAGAAAACCCUAUUUAACUCACUGUUAACCUUACACCAGAGCAUUUCUAGAAAGAUUUAAAGAAUAAGAAGGAACUCGGCAAAUAUUAGACCCGCCUGUUUACCAAAAACAUCGCCUCUUGCCCCCCCCCCAUAAGAGGUCCAGCCUGCCCAGUGACUUGUUUAACGGCCGCAGUAUUUUAACUGCGCAAAGGUAGCGUAAUCACUUGUCUUCUAAAUAAAGACUAGUAUGAAAGGCAUCACGAGAACUAAACUGUCUCCUAUUUUUAAUCAGUGAACCUAAUCUCCCCGUGAAGAAGCGGGGAUUAUUAUACAAGACGAGAAGACCCUAUGGAGCUUAAAACAUAAUAACAUCUGCUAAUACCUUAAUUAACAUAACACAUUGAUUAUAUGUUUUUGGUUGGGGUGACCGUGGAGAAUAGCAUAUCCCCCACGAUGAAAAAAAAUCUUUUUAAACAACAAGCCACAACUUUAUGUAUCAAAAAAAUGACAUCCAUUGACCCAAUAUAUUGAUUAACGAACCAAGUUACCCUAGGGAUAACAGCGCAAUCCACUUUAAAAGCUCCUAUCGACAAGUGGGCUUACGACCUCGAUGUUGGAUCAGGGUACCCAAGUGGUGCAGCCGCUACUAAAGGUUCGUUUGUUCAACGAUUAAAACCCUACGUGAUCUGAGUUCAGAUCCGGAGUAAUCCAGGUCAGUUUCUAUCUGUAACAGAGCUUUUUUUAGUACGAAAGGACCAAAACAGCACGGCCAAUACCAACGCAAGCCAUAAAUAACUAUCUCUACCCCCCCCUUAAGAAUUGCUUAAUCUUUUUAUACC
rnacentral:rRNA from 1 species